rnacentral:lncRNA from 1 species
AUCUUCUGCAAGUUGUUUCGAAAAGUACAGAGGCCUUCAUACUUGUAAAUUAUUUUCGAUGAUAGAAUAUUCAAUUCGAUGAUCGGCUCCGUUAGGGAUAAUUUACGGUAUUAAAACUGUUUAAAAAUUAAAUUUCACAAUUUUUCGACAUUAUAAUGUUUCAAAAAUGAUUAUUUUUCUUAACAUCAAUAGUAAGAUCAAUACUUCUGAUUUGAAAUUUAAAUCUUUUAUCACUAAUUUUUAUGAGAUUUUUAUUUUCUGUCAUUCAUUUUGAGGCUACUCCUUCACUAAACAAGCGAAGUCAAAAAAUUAUAAAUUUAGUUUCUAGAUAGUACCAAUAGCGUAGAUUAUAUUUAAUGGAACCGAUCGCCAAAUCGGAUGUCCUAUCAUCGAAAAUAACUUACAAUAACGUAGAUCAUGUUUUUAGAUGAUAUCCCAUCAUGGAAUUUGAUUUCUAGAUAGUUCUAAUAGCAUAGAUCACGUUUAACGGAACUGAUCGACGAAUCAGAUAUUCUAUCAUCGAAAAUAACUUAUAAGUACGGAGGCUUUCGUACUUUGAAAAAUAUAGGAACCUAGCUCUUUCUCUAUACAUAUACAUUAUAUUU